AUCCCUCUCUCUCUCUGCAGCCUCCUUCUCUCUAAAAAAUGCUCUCUCUCUCCCAGACCAAGGGCGGCGUCGCCGCUGCCAUGACGCCGUCCCACCUUCAUCCCUCCGUUCACCAUUAAUGCCACCACGAGCCACCACCGCCUCAACCACCGGAGAAAUUUCCAUCUCCGACAACGAUCGACGACAACAACCCCCUACCCCGUAUCCUGUUGUCCGUCUUCACCGCCACCAACAACAACGGACCUCUCCGCAUUCCAAUCGAUCCGUCUUCUCACUGCCGCCGCUGCUUUACUCUUCCCUCCCAGGUUGAUAAAAUACCCCCAUUGUCAUUGUCUAGUUGUCAUAACCAGCUAGGCUUUCGACAAACAUCGGCUAUUUCUAUCUAGUUUGAUUUCUCAAACUCUUAAUUACAUGAUUAUUUUCUUUGGUUAACAUGUAUGAUUAUUUUCUAUCAUUUCAAAUCAAUCCUGCAGCUUUAUAAAUUAUGAUACUGUGACUUUGAAUUUUGUAUCUAUUUGUUAAUUUUUGGGCUUAUGUUCGUCUCUAGAUUGACAUACCUAUUCAAAGCCCCAAGUUUUAUUAUUUUAAUUUCGUAAUUUGAAGUAUGAUACCUUUAAAUCUGAUAUCCUUCACUGUUUGGUCUAAAAUAUGCUUGAGUCAUCUGUUUAAAAUUUGAAUUUGCAGCCAUCUUUAUUUGGUAAGAUAAAAGUAUUACGACAGCUGAUUAUAGUAGGCUCUAGUUUACUUACAAUCAAGUAGGAUUUUUUAUUGAUAUAUGAUUGGGAUGAAAUUGUGUGAUAGCUCUUGUUCUUGCUUAUUUUAGGUAAACUGGGUAUGUCUAUGAUUUUCCUAAUCUUUUAUUCUUGUGUGGUAUGGAAAGUUUUUAUUUUAAAACUGGAUUGAUUUAUGGUAAUAUUUUAAUUACAGAAUUUUUGAUAAUUAAUGAGACCACAAGUGG
rnacentral:lncRNA from 1 species